AUAGAGACUCAGAGCUGCAUAUCAAUAAGCGGAGGAAAAGAAACUAACAAGGAUUCCCCUAGUAACGGCGAGUGAAGCGGGAAGAGCUCAAAUUUGAAAUCUUAAAGGUUUUCCCUUGACGAAUUGUAGUUUAAAGAAGUGUUUUCUGUUGAAGUUUUGGUAAAAGUUCUUUGGAAUAGGACAUCAUAGAGGGUGAGAAUCCCGUAUUUGGUCAUUCCUCCUAGCGUUGUGAUACACUUUCAACGAGUCGGAUUGUUUGGGAAUGCAGUCCCAAAAUGGGUGGUAAAUUUCAUCUAAAGCUAAAUAUUGGCGAGAGACCGAUAGCGAACAAGUACCGUGAGGGAAAGAUGAAAAGAACUUUGAAAAGAGAGUUAAACAGUACGUGAAAUUGUCAAAAGGGGAAGCGUUUGACACCAGUGUUGUUUUUCCGAAAAUCAAUUAAAAAUUGAUUCAUGCCAGGUUGUAUUGACCUUAUCAGCUUGCAAUUUGGUUUUGGGUCUCUUUUUGAUGCACUUUUCGGUUAACAAGUCAACAUCAAUUUCCUUUGCUGUAAAAAGGUAAGAGGAAGGUGGCUUCAAUUUCGGUUGAAGUGUUUAUAGCCUUUUAUCUCUGCAGUCGGGGAGAUUGAGGUCUGCAGCGUAGAUCCUUCGGGGCUAGAUACAUUUAUGCUAAGUUAUAGCUUUUCAUAGACAACUUGUUGACUAUGUUUAGUCAUGUAGCUUACUCGUAAGUGCUAUUUUACCUACGCUUAGGAUGUUGAACUCUAUCACACACA
rnacentral:rRNA from 1 species